AGGAGGCAGCAGUGAGGAAUUUUGGACAAUGGGCGCAAGCCUGAUCCAGCCAUGCCGCGUGUGUGAAGAAGGCCUUCGGGUUGUAAAGCACUUUCGGCCGGAACGAAAUCGCCUUUGUUAAUAUCGAAGGUGGAUGACGGUACCGGAAGAAGAAGCACCGGCUAACUACGUGCCAGCAGCCGCGGUAAUACGUAGGGUGCGAGCGUUAAUCGGAAUUACUGGGCGUAAAGGGUGCGCAGGCGGCCCCGCAAGUCAGGCGUGAAAUCCCCGGGCUUAACCUGGGAAUGGCGCUUGAAACUACGGGGCUGGAGUAUGGCAGAGGGAGGUGGAAUUCCACGUGUAGCGGUGAAAUGCGUAGAGAUGUGGAGGAACACUGAUGGCGAAGGCAGCCUCCUGGGCCAAUACUGACGCUCAUGCACGAAAGCGUGGGGAGCAAACAGGAUUAGAUACCCGGGUAGUCC
rnacentral:rRNA from 1 species